CGUGUUCAUUUUCGACUCAAGGCGUACACGUGCAGAUGUGUCACAUGUUCAUUUUCGGCUCAAGGCGUACACGUGCAGGUGUGUUACGUGUUCAUUUUCGGCUCAAGGCUUACACGUGCAGGUGUGCCACAUGUUCAUUUUCGGUUCAAGGCGUACACGUGCAGGUGUGUUACGUGUUCAUUUUCGGCUCAAGGCGUACACGUGCAGGUGUGUC
rnacentral:lncRNA from 10 species